rnacentral:rRNA from 1 species
GACGAACGCUGGCGGCGUGCUUAACACAUGCAAGUCGAACGGAAAGACCCUGCUUUUGUGGGGUGCUCGAGUGGCGAACGGGUGAGUAACACGUGAGUAACCUGCCCUUGACUUUGGGAUAACUUCAGGAAACUGGGGCUAAUACCGGAUAGGAGCUCCUGCUGCAUGGUGGGGUUGGGAAAGUUCCGGCGGUUGGGGAUGGACUCCGGGCUUAUCAGCUUGUUGGUGGGGUAGUGGCUUACCAAGGCUUUGACGGGUAGCCGGCCUGAGAGGGUGACCGGCCACAUUGGGACUGAGAUACGGCCCAGACUCCUACGGGAGGCAGCAGUGGGGAAUAUUGCACAAUGGGCGGAAGCCUGAUGCAGCAACGCCGCGUGCGGGAUGACGGCCUUCGGGUUGUAAACCGCUUUCGCCUGUGACGAAGCGUGAGUGACGGUAAUGGGUAAAGAAGCACCGGCUAACUACGUG